rnacentral:rRNA from 1 species
AUGCAAGUCGAACGAACCUUCGGGUUAGUGGCGGACGGGUGAGUAACGCGUGAGAAUCUGCCCUCAGGAGGGGGAUAACGGUUGGAAACGACCGCUAAUACCCCAUAUGCCUACUGGUGAAAUGAAUUUCGCCUGAGGAUGAGCUCGCGUCUGAUUAGCUAGUUGGUGAGGUAAUGGCUCACCAAGGCUUCGAUCAGUAGCUGGUCUGAGAGGAUGAUCAGCCACACUGGGACUGAGACACGGCCCAGACUCCUACGGGAGGCAGCAGUGGGGAAUUUUCCGCAAUGGGCGAAAGCCUGACGGAGCAACGCCGCGUGAGGGACGAAGGCCUCUGGGCUGUAAACCUCUUUUCUCAAGGAAGAAGAUAUGACGGUACUUGAGGAAUAAGCCACGGCUAAUUCCGUGCCAGCAGCCGCGGUAAUACGGGAGUGGCAAGCGUUAUCCGGAAUUAUUGGGCGUA